GGCGGCACCAGUCGCUCCUCUCAAAUCGCGAAACACGUCCCGGCGCCCUCGAGGACGAAAAUCGCGAGUCCAGCUCUCUUUUUUUCUCUCUCUUUCUCUUUCCGCGCGCGCCUCUCUCUCUCUUUCUCUCUCUUUCUCACACACACAUACUCACUCACUCAGUCACUCACUCACUCACUCACUCACUCACUCAGUCACUCAGUCACUCACUCACUCACUCUCUCUCUUUCUCUCUCUCUGUGCAUGUGUGUACGCGCGUGUGCUUGAUUUUUCCACCAAUACCAUCACUUCCACCUGCUACUUCGACUCUCUGUUUUUCCCAUCGUCGCGAGUUAUCCGAACAAUCGCGUCGUGUACUAAUACGGGUUAAAUCCAGAGGAGGGAGAAACGCGAAAGACGCGUCGCCAACGAGAUGGACCAGAAACAGGAGGACAUCGGAAAACGGUGAACGAAGAAAGAAUCGCGAAACGGAUACGAGAGAUUAUUUCGAACGGAAGUUGGGUGCGAGGAUCGAGGUUGGAGAGGAGUCGUUCGACUCUCGUCGGAAAACCUCGUAUGUAUCUCGAGGGCAACCGGAAGAGCUUGCGGAGACAUUUGUCCGCGUGCAAAUACGGUGCGUUUAGAUCGACUAAUUCGUCUCCGAUUGACGCGUUAUCUCGAGUGGGAUUAUCGAGUUACCAUGUGGAAAAGCACGAUCGGACGCGCAAUGUGCGCUACGUAGGUGUCGCGUGUGUUGACCGAGACGAGAACCGUUGAUCGUCGGUGAUCGUAGUGUUUGGGUUCUUUGUGCCGAAUGAAUAGCCAAUUUUCCAAUUGAAAAAUAUAGUCGUGAAUACCGUAUACCGUAAUCGCGAGGCCAUUACCACGGAACUAAAAUACUUUCCUCCUUCCAAAACGAUACAUCCGUCCAGUGCAAACAUCUCGAGAGACAACGAAGGCCGAAUAACGCAAUCCACAGGAUUUCGAAGACAGAUCGGGUCCAGAAGACGCCGCGCCGUUGCUGGUUAAAAAAAAAGAAAAGAAAAGAAAAGCGUGCCAAAGUGAAACAGCAAACUCGUUCAUCGAGGAGGUUGUUGCGAAUAAGAAAAGUUGGAGACUCGAUGCUCGCGUAGAAAGCGUGCGCGUAUAGAGUCGAAUUUGUAAUUCGCUAAAGAAAAUGAGACGGCAGAGAGAGAGAGAAAGAGAGAGAGGAAUCAGGAGAAGGAAAGGUGGCUUGGAGGAAUCGGCACGGGCGGCUUAAUAGUCUGAUAGUCUGAUAGACUGAUAGGCUGAUAGGAGCGUGAGCUGCGAAUGAAAAAGCGCGCGAGAGCGUUGGCCGGGUCUCGCGAGGACAAAAAAUGAACGAAAGCGCGGUCUACCUACUCGGAUCGGAACAAGAGGUAAUCGUGCCGAGUAAACAGCUGAACAGAAGCUUUUACAGCGGCAGCUAUCCGUCGCAGAAUAGCAGUUACGAGGAUCUGUGGAACCUAGCCACGGACAGAGCCGGUUUAGCGAUAGUUUUGUUCGUAUUCUCGGUGGCCACCGUAUUCGGUAAUACGUUGGUGAUCCUGGCGGUGGUCAGGGAAAGAUACCUUCACACGGCAACCAAUUAUUUCAUCACGUCGUUGGCGUUCGCAGACUGCCUAGUCGGGCUGGUGGUGAUGCCGUUCAGCGCGAUCUACGAGGUGCUGGAAAACCGGUGGCUGUUCACGCACGACUGGUGCGACGUUUGGCGAUCGUUGGAUGUGCUCUUCUCGACUGCGUCCAUUUUGAACCUGUGCGUCAUCAGCCUAGACCGUUACUGGGCGGUCACCGAUCCGUUUACUUAUCCGAGAAGAAUGACCAGAAGACGGGCCGCUAUUUUGAUCGGCAUCGUCUGGAUCUGCUCGAGCGCGAUCUCGUUUCCGGCUAUCGCUUGGUGGAGGGCGGUAAGAACGGAAGAGGUGCCGGAGGACAAGUGUCCAUUUACCGAGCACCUGGGCUACCUGAUUUUCUCCUCCACUAUCAGCUUCUACGUGCCGUUAUUCGUGAUGGUGUUCACCUAUUACAAAAUCUACCGAGCCGCCGUGAUUCAAACGAGAAGCCUCAAGCUGGGCACCAAACAGGUUAUCAUGGCCUCCGGUGAAUUGGAGCUCACUCUGAGGAUACAUCGAGGGGGCGGGACCAACACGGACGCUAGGCAUCUCUUCCGGACCGCUUCGAGCACACCCGAGGAUCUGCAAGAUCUCGAGGAACCGCUGACGGCGAUACAGAACAACUGUCUAACCAGAGUACCAUCAACGAGGAUCACGAAGCAGCAUUUGGGAAAAAAUUUUUCCCUCUCGCGCAAGCUAGCCAAAUUCGCCAAGGAGAAGAAAGCCGCCAAAACUCUAGGGAUCGUGAUGGGCGUCUUCAUCAUUUGUUGGCUGCCGUUUUUCGUCGUGAACCUUUGGUCGGGUUUUUGCACGCAAUGCAUAUGGCAGGAGGAAAUCGUGUUUGCCGCCGUCACGUGGCUCGGUUGGAUCAACAGUGGAAUGAAUCCAGUUAUUUACGCUUGCUGGAGCAGAGAUUUUAGAAGAGCUUUCGCGAGGAUUCUUUGCGGCUGCUGCCCUAGACGAAUGAGACGACGAUAUCAGCCAGCAUUUAGAUGUAAACCAAGCCAAAGAUUUGCAUCCGGAAGAUACUACUCUGCGUACUCGCUCCACCACGUGCGAACCAGCCAAGAGAGUUCGUGCGAGCAAACAUACAUUUAACGAUGGGAUAAAUGGUCAGGACGCGGAUGUCCUCUGUCGUUGGACACCACCUCGAAACCUUUCUCGAUUCCUUCGCGUUCCUUUUCUAUCCAUCGCCAUCGCCAUCGCCAUCGAAGCAUCGUCUACAUCGAGACAAUUCUAUCUAGUACCUAGUACCUAGUACCUAGUACCUAGUACCUAGUCGUCCGAAGACGCUUAGCACAGAUUAUCGCCAAAGGACUCUGUCAACAUCCUCGUAUUGCGUUGCCUCGUACGUUUCCGGAACGAAUGUCGGCGGACAGGCCAGCAGCGUCAGUUACAGUAGCGUGAGUCAAAGCAGCGACGGUGGUACCGCGAGUGGGUUGGCAAGCGGCGGGAUCUGACGUCACACUGGGGCCCGGAACGGGCCUCG